rnacentral:rRNA from 1 species
UACGUAGGGUGCAAGCGUUGUCCGGAAUUAUUGGGCGUAAAGAGCUCGUAGGCGGUUUGUCGCGUCUGCUGUGAAAACUCGGGGCUUAACUCCGGGCCUGCAAUGGGUACGGGCAGACUAGAGUGCGGUAGGGGAGACUGGAAUUCCAGGUGUAGCGGUGAAAUGCGUAGAUAUCUGGAGGAACACCGGUGGCGAAGGCGGCAUCCUGGACCAAUUCUGACGCUGAGUGAGCGAAAGCCAGGGGAGCAAACGGG